rnacentral:rRNA from 1 species
CCUACGGGGUGCUGCAGUGAGGAAUAUUGGUCAAUGGUCGGAAGCCUGAACCAGCCAAGUAGCGUGCAGGAUGACGGCUCUACGGUUUGUAAACUUCUUUUAUACGGGAAUAACGCGCCUUACGUGUAGGGCUUUGCAUGUACCGUAUGAAUAAGGACCGGCUAAUUCCGUGCCAGCAGCCGCGGUAAUACGGAAGGUCCGGGCGUUAUCCGGAUUUAUUGGGUUUAAAGGGAGCGUAGGCGGGAUGUUAAGCUUGCUGUGAAAGGUCCGGGCUCAACCCGGGCCUUGGCGUGGAAACUGGCGUGCUUGAGUGCGCGGGAGGUAGGCGGAAUGCGUGGUGUAGCGGUGAAAUGCUUAGAUAUGACGAAGAACUCCGAUUGCGAAGGCAGCUUGCUGGAGCGUAACUGACGCUGAUGCUCGAAAGCGUGGGUAUCGAACAGGAUUAGAUACCCGGGUAGUC